rnacentral:rRNA from 1 species
AACGAACGCUGGCGGCAUGCCUAACACAUGCAAGUCGAACGAGACCUUCGGGUCUAGUGGCGCACGGGUGCGUAACGCGUGGGAACCUGCCCUUAGGUUCGGAAUAACUCCCCGAAAGGGGUGCUAAUACCGGAUAAUGUCUUCGGACCAAAGAUUUAUCGCCUUUGGAUGGGCCCGCGUUGGAUUAGCUAGUUGGUAGGGUAAAAGCCUACCAAGGCGACGAUCCAUAGCUGGUCUGAGAGGAUGAUCAGCCACACUGGGACUGAGACACGGCCCAGACUCCUACGGGAGGCAGCAGUGGGGAAUAUUGGACAAUGGGCGCAAGCCUGAUCCAGCCAUGCCGCGUGAGUGAUGAAGGCCUUAGGGUUGUAAAGCUCUUUUACCCGGGAUGAUAAUGACAGUACCGGGAGAAUAAGCUCCGGCUAACUCCGUG